CCCUUAGAUGUCCGGGGCCGCACGCGCGCUACAAUUGAUGUAUCAACAAGUUACAGGUGCCGAAAGGCUCAUGAAACCUGCUGAAACACAUCAUUGACCGGGAUCGUGGAUCGAAAAAUCCACGUAAACGAGGAAUUCCUAGUAAGCGUAAGUCAUAAGCUUGCGCUGAUUACGUCCCUGCCCUUUGUACACACCGCCCGUCGCUACGACCGACUGUUUCUGUCAAUGAAGCUGUAGGAUUCGGCCCUGGCCGGGGCGCAAGCCCUGGCUACGUGGUUGGAGAUCAUAGUUUAGUUGAUACGAAAUACAGGACGUAAAAGUCGUAACA
rnacentral:rRNA from 1 species